rnacentral:lncRNA from 1 species
UUUCUUCUUUCUAUAUGGUCUUUUGUAUUUAUAAUUUUUUACAUAAUAUCUUUUUCUUGGUUUCUUAUAUUUAUAUUUUGAUUUUUUAUAUUUCUUAUAUUUCUUAUGUCUUUUUCUUUUCCUAUAAUAUCUUUCUUCACAUCCAAAUUGGGGUGCUAUUUUAUUUUUGCAACAUGCUAAAUUUCUUAUUAAUGUUUUUUCCAUUUUUAAUUCUUCUCUAUAUUUUUCACAUAAGUUUCUAUACCAUUGUUGUAAAAAUUUUAUUCU